AACAUCCAUUAUCUCAUUUUUAAAUUAAGAUGAAUGCUAUUUCCAUUUUUUGAUUAAUUUCAAAUACUCAUAAUCUUUGGUGUGUACAUGGCUACUUUUAAGUUAUUAAAAUGUAUUUCUGCCCCUCCUGCGGUAAAGUAAAAUUAUUCUUGUCAAACCAAAAGUUGCAAUAAAGCAAUAAAAUGAGUAACAUGACUGAUUUAGCAAGUAGAUAUGGACUUCUCUGCACAUUUAUCUUGGCAGGAAGUCUCAAAACCACGAACUGCAGCAGCUACUAAAAACAGUUUGCUUGAAGCGACUGUGCAGCCGGUGACUGAAUCCACCAAUACGAGCAGAAAUGGCUGCAGUCCCACUGAUCCAAGCUAUUCCUAAUUCAGAAUAAAUAAUUUAUAUACUUCUUUGUUUCUGCUGGGGUUUAGUUCGGUGCGCCUUCGAAACCUUUUGGUGCAGAGAAGCAGCAGCUCUACUCUGGAAAAAUACCUCACAUUUCUAAACCUUUCCUGGUUUAAGGUCUUUCCAAACUGUUUUAUACGUUGCCAUUUCUUAUCAGAGUGGCCGACUUUUAAAACAUGAACCCGAACAAUAAAAUGGCUUUAGGCUGAUCUCAUGAUGAUUACAUCAUCUUUAUUGUUGAACACCUGACUGAGGAAGCUAAAGUUUCAGCUGACUGUUUAUAGACGUGUAGUAACUGGGUCAGCUGUGAAAAUGGGGGCAAAUGGCAGUCAGGUUAUCAUGUUGUUUUUCUAUUUAUGACACCAUGUUUAGUUUCUCAGUCAGGUUUGACUGUUUUUGUGACGAGUUAUAACCUGAAACAAAAGAAGAGAUGUGAUGGUGGUUUUCUCAAAAAGCUUCUCUAAGCAACUCUACACAUGAAGAUCUGUCAAAAUGUU